GAUAAGUAAUUGAGAGGUGGUUAUUUAAUUAAGAUCCUUGAUCCAUCAAAGAGGAGUCUCCCACCAAUCUUUACUUACCUGAUCAAUUUGGAAGAUUGUGUCUUAAAUAUGGUUGCUUGACAGUUUGGUUUAGCUCAUACCAAUUAGAUCAGUCAUUUGAUGACUGAUUAAAUAAGAUUUGAACCAAAUCUUCCUAUGAAUAUUAAGUCUAGAGAUCUUUCAUUAUUGUAGAUGUGCGGACGUGCCAC
rnacentral:lncRNA from 1 species